AUUGAACGCUGGCGGCAGGCCUAACACAUGCAAGUCGAGCGGAUGAAGGGAGCUUUCUCCUGGAUUCAGCGGAGGACGGGUGAGUAAUGCCUAGGAAUCUGCCUGGUAAUGGGGGAUAACGUCCGGAAACGGGCGCUAAUACCGCAUCCGUCCUGAUGGAGAAAGUGGGGGAUCUUCGGACCUCACGCUAUCAGAUGAGCCUAGGUCGGAUUAGCUAGUUGCUGUGGUAAAGGCCUACCAAGGCGACGAUCCGUAACUGGUCUGAGAGGAUGAUCAGUCACACUGGAACUGAGACACGGUCCAGACUCCUACGGGAGGCAGAAGUGGGGAAUAUUGGGCAAUGGGCGAAAGCGUGAUGCAGCAAUGCCGCGUGAGUGAAGAAGGUCUUCGGAUUGUAAAGCACUUUAAGUUGGGAGGAAGGGCAGUAAGUUAAUACCUUGCUGUCUUGACGUUACCAAAAGAAUAAGCAACGGCUAACUACGUG
rnacentral:rRNA from 1 species